UGGUGCCAGCAGCCGCGGUAAUUCCAGCUCCAAUAGCGUAUAUUAAAGUUGUUGCAGUUAAAAAGCUCGUAGUUGAAUUUCGGGGUUAGUAGGUUGGUCAUGCCUCUGGUAUGUACCGGUCUCACUGAUUCCUCCUUCCUUAUGAACCGUAAUGCCAUUAAUUUGGUGUUGCGGGGAAUUUGGACUGUUACUUUGAAAAAAUUAGAGUGUUUAAAGCAAGCUAACGCUUGAAUACAUUAGCAUGGAAUAAUGAAAUAGGACGUUCGAUCUUAUUUUGUUGGUUUCUAGGAUUGACGUAAUGAUUAAUAGGGAUAGUUGGGGGCAUUAGUAUUCAAUUGUCAGAGGUGAAAUUCUUGGAUUUAUUGAAGACUAACUACUGCGAAAGCAUUUGCCAAGGAUGUUUUCAUUAAUCAAGAACGAAAGUUAGGGGAUCGAAGACGAUCAGAUACCGUCGUAGUCUUAACCAUAAACUAUGCCGACUAGGGA
rnacentral:rRNA from 1 species